AAUUUUCUCUAUGGCCAUACCACCCUGAACACACCUGAUCUCAUCUGAUCUCAGAAGCUAAGCAGGGUUGGGCCUGGUUAGUACUUGGAUGGG
rnacentral:miRNA from 10 species